rnacentral:RNase_P_RNA from 3 species
CCAGACGGCCGGGCGGUCGCGGCGGGCCAGGAGAGAUCCUGUCUCGUCGAGGAAAGUCCGGGCUCCACGGUGAAAAGGCGGCGGAUAACUUCCGCCCGGGGUGACCCGAGGGACAGCGCCACAGAAAGCAAACCGCCUUCUUCGGAAGGUAAGGGUGAAAGGGUGGGGUAAGAGCCCACCGCGUCUUCGGCAACGCAGACGGCACGGCAAGCCCCGCCUGGAGCAAGACCGAAUAGGGACGUCGCGCGGCCUCGGCCGCAGGGCUCACCGCCUGGGACGUCCGGGUAGGUCGCGAGAACCGGUCAGCAAUGGCCGGUCCAGAGGAAUGAUCGUCGCCGGUCUUCGGACCGGAACAGAACCCGGCUUACAGGCCGUCUGGCAUU